UCGCGCCCCGGCUCCCGUUC
rnacentral:miRNA from 1 species